rnacentral:rRNA from 1 species
ACGUAGGGACCAAGCGUUGUCCGGAUUUAUUGGGCGUAAAGAGCUCGUAGGCGGUUCAGUCAGUCGGGUGUGAAAACUUCGGGCUUAACUCGAAGCAUGCAUCCGAUACUGCUGUGACUUGAGUCCGGUAGGGGAGUGGGGAAUUCCUGGUGUAGCGGUGAAAUGCGCAGAUAUCAGGAGGAACACCGGUGGCGAAGGCGCCACUCUGGGCCGGUACUGACGCUGAGGAGCGAAAGCGUGGGUAGCAAACAGGAUUAGAUACCCUGGUAGUCCACGCUGUAAACGUUGGGCACUAGGUGUGGGCUCUAACCAACGGAGUCCGUGCCGCAGCUAACGCAUUAAGUGCCCCGCCUGGGGAGUACGGCCGCAAGGUUA